UACGGAGGGGGCUAGCGUUGUUCGGAAUUACUGGGCGUAAAGCGCGCGUAGGCGGACCUGCAAGUCGGGGGUGAAAGCCCGAGGCUCAACCUCGGAACUGCCUUCGAUACUGCGGGUCUCGAGUCCGGAAGAGGAGAGUGGAAUUCCUGGUGUAAGCGGUGAAAUGCGCAGAUAAUCAGGAAGAACACCAAUGGCGAAGGCAGCUCUCUGGGACGGUACUGACGCUGAGACGCGAAAGCCGUGGGGAGCGAAACAGG
rnacentral:rRNA from 1 species